AGAGUUUGAUCCUGGCUCAGAUUGAACGCUGGCGGCAGGCUUAACACAUGCAAGUCGAGCGGAGUGAUAGUGCUUGCACUAUCACUUAGCGGCGGACGGGUGAGUAAUGCUUAGGAAUCUGCCAUUUAGUGGGGGACAACAUUCCGAAAGGAAUGCUAAUACCGCAUACGUCCUACGGGAGAAAGCAGGGGAUCUUCGGACCUUGCGCUAAAUGAUGAGCCUAAGUCGGAUUAGCUAGUUGGUGGGGUAAAGGCCUACCAAGGCGACGAUCUGUAGCGGGUCUGAGAGGAUGAUCCGCCACACUGGGACUGAGACACGGCCCAGACUCCUACGGGAGGCAGCAGUGGGGAAUAUUGGACAAUGGGCGGAAGCCUGAUCCAGCCAUGCCGCGUGUGUGAAGAAGGCCUUAUGGUUGUAAAGCACUUUAAGCGAGGAGGAGGCUACCUAGAUUAAUACUCUAGGAUAGUGGACGUUACUCGCAGAAUAAGCACCGGCUAACUCUGUGCCAGCAGCCGCGGUAAUACAGAGGGUGCGAGCGUUAAUCGGAUUUACUGGGCGUAAAGCGUGCGUAGGCGGCUUUUUAAGUCGGAUGUGAAAUCCCCGA
rnacentral:rRNA from 1 species